CCUACGGGAGGCAGCAGUGGGGAAUAUUGCACAAUGGGCGAAAGCCUGAUGCAGCAACGCCGCGUGAAGGAAGACUGCCCUAUGGGUUGUAAACCUCUUUUGUCAGGGAGCAAUUGGCGCUACGUGUAGCGUUAUCGAGAGUACCUGAAGAAAAAGCAUCGGCUAACUCCGUGCCAGCAGCCGCGGUAAUACGGAGGAUGCGAGCGUUAUCCGGAUUUAUUGGGUUUAAAGGGUGCGUAGGCGGAAUGCCAAGUCAGCGGUAAAAUCGCGGGGCUCAACCUCGCUCCGCCGUUGAAACUGGCGUUCUUGAGUGGGCGAGAAGUAUGCGGAAUGCGUGGUGUAGCGGUGAAAUGCAUAGAUAUCACGCAGAACUCCGAUUGCGAAGGCAGCAUACCGGCGCCCAACUGACGCUGAAGCACGAAAGCGUGGGUAUCGAACAGGAUUAGAUACCCUUGUAGUC
rnacentral:rRNA from 1 species